UACGAAGGGGGCUAGCGUUGCUCGGAAUCACUGGGCGUAAAGGGUGCGUAGGCGGGUCUUAUAAGUCAGUGGUGAAAUCUCGUUGCUUAACAACGAACGUGCCAUUGAUACUGUAGGACUUGAGUACAGUUGCCGUUGGCGGAAUGUGUCAUGUAGCGGUGAAAUGCAUAGAUAUGACACAGAACACCGAUUGCGAAGGCAGCUGACGAAACUGUAACUGACGCUGAGGCUCGAAAGCGUGGGGAUCAAACAGG
rnacentral:rRNA from 1 species